AUCGUCUAAUCAGGUGAUAAAUACAAAUGGCCAAACAGUCAAUAGUAACAUAGAUCCAGCAACUGGUCUUCCAUUUUCUGGCAGUUCAUCUGGCAUUUCAACGUCUUCUACUGGCGGCAUGACAAGUACCGGCAGUCAGUUGUUUUCUGUCGGUGGUGUGUCAGCUGCUGGCAUUCCCGCAUCUGGCAGUGCACCAACUACGAAUGUUGUUGACCCAGGAGCUCCCAGCAUCUCGUUUUCUGGGAAUCCGUCUGGCAGUAUGACAACCGCGGGUGUCCUUGACCCUGGUAUGCCAACUACUAGCGGUCAAACGUUUUCAUUUUCUGGUAGUCUCUCUGGUAGUCCAACAUCAGUUGGUAGUCAAACAUCGUCUACUAGCAGUAUUUCUACAAGUGGAUCUACAGGGAUGCAAAAAACACAAGUUAUUUCACCCGCCAACUCAAUGUAUACAGACCCAUUCUUUCAAAGUGGAGUUACUUUCAUAGAUCCAGGCCAGGGCGGAGCUAACAGUGCUUUCUCGGUUAUGGGAGUUGAUGGAGCAUCGGGAAUGAAUGGAAUGAUUAUCUAAUAUUCAUCGUUUAAUUCACAAUAUUUAAAAGAUAUUAUAAAUAAAUAAUACUUGUUCAAGUGCGGAAAGAAUAAAAUGUUUG